GACACUGCAAUCGCUUCGACGACAUUCCGCAAGGUUGUCUAGGAGUGUUGUUGUUGUGCUCGUUGGAUGCAUUUGCGUGCGGAGUGCGCCGAGUGGGUCGAUGUCGCUGCCGGAAGGGCGUAUAGAGGACUCGGGUUUUCGGACUCGAGAAUCCUGCGCGUUCGGAUAGCAGGUGAUGUUGGCUCGCUGUUGUGGAGUGCGGGUGAAUUCGCGAUGGGCGUCGGUUGUGAGUUGUGGUUGCGGAU
rnacentral:rRNA from 1 species